rnacentral:hammerhead_ribozyme from 1 species
ACCCGACUGAUGUAUCCUAAAUAGGACGAAAUGUGCGUCUUGGAU